UGCGUAGGUGGCCGGGUAAGUCUGAUGUGAAAUCUCCGACCUUAACUCGGAAAUGGCAUUGGAUACUACUUGGCUUGAGGAUUGGAGGGGGGACUGGAAUACUUGGUGUAGCAGUGAAAUGCGUAGAUAUCAAGUGGAACACCAGUGGCGAAGGCGAGUCCCUGGACAAUUCCUGACACUGAGGCACGAAAGCUGGGAGCAAACA
rnacentral:rRNA from 1 species